rnacentral:misc_RNA from 1 species
UACGUAGGGUGCGAGCGUUAAUCGGAAUUACCGGGCGUAAAGUGUGCGUAGGCGGCCUCGCACGUCGAGUGUGAAAUCCCCGGGCUUAACUUGGGAAUUGCGCUCGAAACUACGGGGCUGGAGUGUGGCAGAGGGAGGUGGAAUUCCACGUGUACCGGUGAAAUGUGUAGAGAUGUGGAGGAACACCAAUGGCGAAGGCAGCCUCCUGGGCCAACACUGACGCUCAUGCGCGAAAGCGUGGGGAGCAAACAGG